GAUGAACGCUGGCGGCGUGCUUAACACAUUCAAGUCGAACGGGACUCAUUUGAUUAAUCCUUCGGGAAGCGUUGAAUGAGUUUAGUGGCGGACGGGUGAGUAACGCGUGAGCAAUUUACCUUUGUGAGUGGAAUAACACCCGGAAACAGGUGCUAAUACCGCAUAACGUAUCGAUGUCGCAUGGCAAUGAUACCAAAGAGAAAUCGCACAAAGAUGAGCUCGCGUCCGAUUAGAUAGUUGGUGAGGUAACGGCCCACCAAGUCGACGAUCGGUAGCCGGACUGAGAGGUUGAACGGCCACAUUGGGACUGAGAUACGGCCCAGACUCCUACGGGAGGCAGCAGUGGGGAAUAUUGGGCAAUGGGCGCAAGCCUGACCCAGCAACGCCGCGUGAAGGAAGAAGGCUUUCGGGUUGUAAACUUCUUUUGUCAGGGACGAGUAGAAGACGGUACCUGACGAAUAAGCCACGGCUAACUACGUG
rnacentral:rRNA from 1 species